rnacentral:rRNA from 1 species
CAGCCGCCGCGGUAACACGGAGGGUGCAAGCGUUAAUCGGAAUUACUGGGCGUAAAGCGUGCGUAGGCGGUUCGUUAAGUCUGUUGUGAAAGCCCCGGGCUCAACCUGGGAAUGGCAAUGGAUACUGGCGAGCUAGAGUGUGUCAGAGGAUGGUGGAAUUCCCGGUGUAGCGGUGAAAUGCGUAGAUAUCUGGAAGAACACCGAUGGUGAAGGCAGCCUCCUGGGCCUGAUUUGACGCUGAGGCACGAAAGCGUGGGGAGCAAACAGGAUUAGAUACCCCAGUAGUCCCUGUCUCUUAUAC